rnacentral:hammerhead_ribozyme from 1 species
AUGCAGCUGACGAGUCCCAAAUUGGACGAAACGCGCGUCCUGGAU